rnacentral:rRNA from 1 species
UGGGGAAUAUUGCACAAUGGGCGAAAGCCUGAUGCAGCAACGCCGCGUGAGUGAUGAAGGCCUUCGGGUUGUAAAGCUCUGUCUUCUGGGACGAUAAUGACGGUACCAGAGGAGGAAGCCACGGCUAACUACGUGCCAGCAGCCGCGGUAAUACGUAGGGGGCAAGCGUUGUCCGGAUUUACUGGGUGUAAAGGGCGCGCAGGCGGGAUAAAAAGUCAGUGGUGAAAUCCUACAGCUUAACUGUAGAACUGCCUUUGAUACUUUUAUUCUUGAGUUCGGGAGAGAGAGACGGAAUUCCAGGUGUAGUGGUGAAAUACGUAGAUAUCUGGAAGAACACCAGUUGCGAAGGCGGUCUCUUGGUCCGACACUGACGCUGAGGCGCGAAAGCGUGGGGAGCAAACA